rnacentral:lncRNA from 1 species
UUUGGCCGGAGAAAUUUCUGGGGUUUUGUCGUCGGACAGAGGCGAGUCUUUUGGUAUUGCUGGAUUUUGCACAGCACUGACCGAGAUUGAUUUUACUUGAAAAAGUCGCCGGAAAAGGGUUCCGAUGACUGAUUUUACUUCCCGGAAUCGCUGGAAUUUAUGCACAGCGAUAAAUCUCUCACGAUUGCUCUGAUACCAUGUGAGAAAGCACGGGAGAAAAAUAUAUAAUUGAUAUAAAC